GUGAAUCAUCGAAUUUUUGAACGCAAAUUGCACUCUCCGCGGAGAGUAUGCGUGUUUGAGGUUCAGGCUAUAUAAAUCGACAUCGUUGGUGUUUCGCGGUGGCUUUCGUGGGAAAUUGGGUCAUCUUAAAUCCUUUCGAUUGAAGCGACUUGAAAUUUUCGUUUUGAUUCCAUGAACUGUUCU
rnacentral:misc_RNA from 1 species